GGGGGCAUAGCUCAGUGGUAGAGCAUUCGACUGCAGAUCGAAAUGUCCCCGGUCAAAACCGGGUGCCCCCU
rnacentral:tRNA from 1 species